AUGGAGCAUGGAACUGGAUCAGACCUGGACCUUAAAGCAAGCACAAGUCCUGUACAAGUCAAGUCCAGCAUAUCUAGGCCAAAGCCUAUAAACCUGCAGCCACAUCAAAUCUGCAUUCCAUGCACCUGUAAUGUCGUACAAGAAGCCAGACAAGAAGGUUUAGCAGGAGAAGAUUUAAAUCUCAAAUGUGACCAUGCCGCUAUAACUACUGGUGACUACAUUCGCUGGUACAGGAUGCUUCCUGGUCAAGGACCAGUACAUGUAAUUGGUAGCUUCCAGGACACUGACCUGCUAAACAAUAAGCAUAAAUUAACUUUUAAUGAAGGAAGAAAAUCUAGUGUUCUCCUUAUACGUGAUAUCAAGCCUGAAGACAGUGCUGUGUAUCUCUGUGCUCAGAGUGACACAUAG